UGGAACGGAGGCGGAGCGAAAGCGAGUCCGAAUAGGGCGACUAGUUGCAGGGGGUGGACCCGAAGCGGAGGUGACCUACCUAUGGCCAGGUUGAAGCGUCGGUAAAACGACGUGGAGGACCGAACCGUUGUGUGUUGAAAAACGCUCGGAUGAGCUGUGGGUAGGAGUGAAAGGCUAAUCAAACCCCGUGAUAGCUGGUUCUCUCCGAAAUGUAUUGAGGUACAGCGUCGUACGCUGACCACCGGGGGUAGAGCACUGACAGGGCUAGGGGGCAUACCCGCCUACCAACCCCUAUCAAACUCCGAAUACCGGUGGGUGCAGUACGGCAGUGAGACAGUGGGGGAUAAGCUUCAUUGUCAAAAGGGAAACAGCCCAGAUCAGCAGCUAAGGUGCCUAAAUGAUGCUCAGUGGAAAGGAGGUGAGGUUUCAUAGACAGUGAGGAUGUUGGCUUAGAAGCAGCCACCAUUUAAAAAAUGCGUAACAGCUUACUCAUCGAGAGACCUUGCGCCGAAAAUACUUGGCGAUAAGCAUCAUACCGAAGCUCUGGAUUCUUCCGACUUGUCGGAAGAGUGGUAGGAGAGCGUUCCCAGUGCAGCGAAGGGUGAUGGCGACUGACCCUGGAGCGCUGGGAAGUGAGAAUGCAGACAUGAGUAACGAUAAGACCGGUGAAAUCCCGGUCCGCCGUAAACCCAAGGUUUCCCGGGCCACGUUGAUCGUCCCGGGGUUAGUCGGGACCUAAGCCGAGGCCGAUAGGCGUAGGCGAUGGAGAGCAGGUUAAUAUUCCUGCACCCGCGAAGUGGGAAGGACGGGGGCGUGAAGGUAACUAGGUUAUUGAAUUCCGAGGUGCGGCUACGGCCAAUCCGUAUUACUGGAUCGUCCUCCUAGAAAAGCUCCCACGAAUGAAGCGGCCCGUACCGUAAACCGACACAGGUGGGUGGGUAGAGUAUACCAAGGCGCAAGAGUGAAACCUAGUCAAGGAACUCGGCAAUAUAGCCCCGUAACUUCGGAAGAAGGGGUGCCUCUUCGGAGGCCGCAGUGAAAUGGCUCAACCGACUGUUUAGCAAAAACACAGCACUCUGCUAAGUCGCAAGACGACGUAUAGGGUGUGACACGUGACCAAUGCCGAAAGAUUACGGUAAGGUGUUAGCCUUCGGGCGAAGCUCCGAGCCCAAGUCCCGGUGAAUGUCGGCCGUAACUAUAACGGUCCUAAGGUAGCGAAAUUCCUUGUCGGGUAAGUUCCGACCUGCACGAAUCGUGCAACGAGUUGAGCACUGUCUCGACUAGGUGCUCAGUGAAAUUGUAACGCCGGUGAAGAUGCCGGCUACCCGCAGAAGGACGGAAAGACCCUAUGGACCUUAACUGUAAGCUGUUACUGGUUAUUCGAUUUCAAUACUCAGCAUAAGUGGGAGGCAUUGAACCAGCCCUUUAGGGGGUUGGGGAGCCACCAGUGAGAUACCACCUUUUGGUGUUGGAUGAUCUAACCCCGAGCCGUGAAACCGGCCGGGGGACCCUGGCAGCCGGUCAGUUUUACUGGGGCGGUAUCCUCCCAAAGAGUAACGGAGGAGCGCGAAGGUUGGCUCAGCGCAGUUUGCAACUGCGUGUCGAGUGUAAAGGCACAAGCCAGCUUAACUGUGAGACCUACAAGUCGAGCAGAUACGAAAGUAGGCCUUAGUGAUCCGGUGGUUGAAUGUGGAAUUGCCAUCGCUCAACGGAUAAAAGGUACCCUAGGGAUAACAGGCUGAUCGCGCCCAAGAGUUCAUAUCGACGGCGCGGUUUGGCACCUCGAUGUCGGCUCGUCGCAUCCUGGGGCUGGAGAAGGUCCCAAGGGUUUGGCUGUUCGCCAAUUAAAGCGGCACGCGAGCUGGGUUCAGAACGUCGCGAGACAGUUCGGUCCUCUAUCCUCUGUGGGCGUAGGAAAAUUGCGGGGUUCACUUUCUAGUACGAGAGGACCGAAAGUGACGCACCUCUGGUGUUCCAGUUGUCACGUCAGUGGCACCGCUGGGUAGCUAAGUGCGGACGAGAUAAGCGCUGAAAGCAUCUAAGCGCCAAGCUCUUCCCAAGAUGAAUUUUCCCUGAGGAUCGUGGCAGACUACCACGUUGAUAGGCUGGCGGUGUAAGUGUGGCAACACAUUCAGCUCACCAGUACUAAUCAUCCGAUUGGCUUGAUUCCU
rnacentral:rRNA from 1 species